GUCGACUUAGUUGUAAUGGUCUAGAAUGGAAUAUUUGUAAUAUUCAGGUACUAGUUCGAGUCUAGUAGUCGGCA
rnacentral:tRNA from 1 species